AAGUCGUAACAAGGUUUCCGUAGGUGAACCUGCGGAAGGAUCAUUAACGAAUGACCCUCGGGUUAUUUCACCCUCGCUGUGCGGCUUCGGCCUGCACGCUUGGGAUCCACACACCUGUGCACCUUCGUUUGGGGGGCUUCGGCCUUCCUCUCGCUCACACACACUUUUAUCAGUCCUGAAUGUCAUAAAUCAUAACAAAUACAACUAUGAGCAACGGAUCUCUUGGCUCUC
rnacentral:misc_RNA from 1 species